AGGUAGAAUGGCCGAGAGUAUAGGCGGCAGGCUGUAGACCUGUUUACAAAGGCUUAAGUCCUUUUUUUAU
rnacentral:tRNA from 1 species